AGCAGCCGCGGUAAUUCCAGCUCCAAUAGCGUAUAUUAAAGUUGUUGCAGUUAAAAAGCUCGUAGUUGAAUUUCAGGCCUGGCUGGACGGUCCGCCCUUCGGGUGAGUACUGUCUGUGGUCGGGUCCUACCUUCUGGCGAAGCGUCAUGGCCUUAACCGGCCGUGGCGGGGAACCAGGACUUUUACUGUGAAAAAAUUAGAGUGUUCAAAGCAGGCAAUCGCUUGGAUACAUUAGCAUGGAAUAAUGGAAUAGGACAAUGGUUCUAUUUGUUGGUUUCUAGGACCGUUGUAAUGGUUAAUAGGGAUAGUUGGGGGCAUUAGUAUUCAAUUGUCAGAGGUGAAAUUCUUGGAUUUAUUGAAGAUUAACUACUGCGAAAGCAUUUGCCAAGGAUGUUUUCAUUAAUCAAGAACGAAAGUUAGGGGAUCGAAGACGAUCAGAUACCGUCGUAGUCUUAACCAUAAACUAUGCCGACUAGGGAUCGGAUGAUGUAAUUUUUAAUGACUCAUUCGGCGCCUUACG
rnacentral:rRNA from 1 species